AUUGAACGCUGGCGGCAGGCCUAACACAUGCAAGUCGAGCGAGCGGCGGACGGGUGAGUAAUGUAUGGGGACUGCCCGAUAGAGGGGGAUAACUACUGGAAACGGUGGCUAAUACCGCAUACUAUCGGAUAACCCAUAUGGGAUUAGCUAGUAGGUGGGGUACAGGCUCACCUAGGCGACGAUCUCUAGCUGGUCUGAGAGGAUGAUGAGCCACACUGAGACUGAGAAACGGCCCAGAGUACUACGGAGGCAGCAGUGGGGAAUAUUGCAAAAUGGGCGCAAGCCUGAUGCAGGAAUGCCGCGUGUAUGAAGAAGGCCUUAGGGUUGUAAAGUACUUUCAGCGGGGAGGCGUUAACCGCAGAAGAAGCACCGAAUAACUCCGUGCGAGAAGCAGCGGUAAUAC
rnacentral:rRNA from 1 species